CCUACGUGAGGCAGCAGUGAGGAAUAUUGGUCAAUGGGCUUACGCCUGAACCAGCCAAGUCGCGUGAGGGAAGACUGCCCUAUGGGUUGUAAACCUCUUUUGUCAGGGAGCAACGCCGGCUACGUGUAGCCGGACUGAGAGUACCUGAAGAAAAAGCAUCGGCUAACUCCGUGCCAGCAGCCGCGGUAAUACGGAGGAUGCGAGCGUUAUCCGGAUUUAUUGGGUUUCAAGGGUGCGUAGGCGGAAUGCCAAGUCAGCGGUAAAAUCGCGGGGCUCAACCUCGCUCCGCCGUUGACACUGGCGUUCUUGAGUGGGCGAGAAGUAUGCGGAAUGCGUGGUGUAGCGGUGAAAUGCAUAGAUAUCACGCAGAACUCCGAUUGCGAAGGCAGCAUACCGGCGCCCAACUGACGCUGAAGCACGAAAGCGUGGGUAUCGAACAGGAUUAGAUACACUUGUAGUC
rnacentral:rRNA from 1 species